UUUGUGGGAGGGUUGUGAAUUGUGAUCUUAUCAAGUGGUGGUCGGCGUCGAGCAUGUCAUGUCACGAGUGAAGUUGGUUAUGAGAUGAGAGUACUUGCAAAUAUUAGGUUAGAAAUUGUUACAUGAAUCCUUCUUGAGUCUUGAGGACACACGCACACAUAUGGCGUGAAACCUUGAUCAUUGAUGAGGAGGAAAUGAUCAAGGAAUACUCAUCAAUUACAGAAGAGAAUCAAGACAAUUGAAGUCUUGAUUUAAUGAGCAAAUGAAUACAGUGGGAAGAAUAUGUCUGUUAGGAUCUCAGUUGCAGAUCUCAUAGUGGGCAUGGACCUUGGCCCAACCUAAAUCAAGGAACACUAUUCAUUGUUAGGCCGGUAGGUCAAUGCUUUUAAGGGAGGGGUAUUGGAGAACUUCUAAAGUGCCUCCUAGAUUUUCCAAAAUAUCUCUCAUGCACUUUAACUAGCGAACCUUAUAAAAAUAUUUUCAUAGGGGGUGAAGAAAUGGUGAGGAGGACAAAAAUAUUAGAUUUUAUGUAUUUUUUUUCAUAUUUUGCGCCCCCACUACUGCGAUUUUUCAGAUUUUUGCCCCCUUUAGUACUCACUACUUAAGUAGUAACGAGGUAUUUUUGGAUUUUUUGAAGAUGCGCGAGAAAAGUUGGGGGGCGUGAAAAGAAAUUCUCAAGUAUUAUUCGUUGUUAGGCCCAUUAUUGUAUUUUUUUUUUCAAAGUUGAAAUUAUUGUUGGCUUUUCUCCUAAGAGUGAUUCUUCAAGAUACAACCAUCACAAUGGAUGGUAAAAUAAAAUAAAAUCACAAGAGAUGAAUAUAUGUAGCAAAUGAGUAU
rnacentral:lncRNA from 1 species